rnacentral:rRNA from 1 species
UGUCGUAGCCAACGCGUUAAGUGUUCCGCCUGGGGAGUACGCACGCAAGUGUGAAACUCAAAGGAAUUGACGGGGGCCCGCACAAGCGGUGGAGUAUGUGCUUUAAUUCGAUGCAACGCGAAGAACCCUUACCAGGGUUUGACAUCCUGCGAAUCUCUUGGAAACGAGAGAGUGCCUUUCGGAACGCAGUGACAGGUGGUGCAUGGCUGUCGUCAGCUCGUGUCGUGAGAUGUUGGGUUAAGUCCCGCAACGAGCGCAACCCACGUCGUUAGUUGCCAGCAUUUAGUUGGGCACUCUAGCGAGACCGCCGGUGAUAAACCGGAGGAAGGUGUGGAUGACGUCAAGUCAUCAUGCCCCUUACAUCCUGGGCUACACACGUACUACAAUGCUACGGACAAAGGGCAGCAAGCUCGCGAGAGUUAGCAAAUCCCAUAAACCGUGGCUCAGUUCAGAUCGUAGGCUGCAACUCGCCUACGUGAAGGAGGAAUCGCUAGUAAUCGCAGGUCAGCAUACUGCAGUGAAUACAUCCCGGGCCUUGUACACACCGCCCGUCACACCAUGGAAG